GUAAGGAUAUUAGCUCUUUAAUGGGAGGUCCUCUCAUCAAGAAUGGUGCUGUGUUGGUCACGGUUGGACAUACCUUAGCGCCUGAGCGUAAGUGUUGCCAAUUUGGGAAAUUGUACUCUACAUGAAAUUGUGGAACAGGUUAAAAAGGCUGUGGUUUUUGUGGCCAAAAGAUUUCCAGAAACUAGAGGGAUUUUCAUAUCCGGUCACUCGGCUGGUGGUCAUCUGUCGGCCAUGAUGCUGUCCGUAGACUGGUCAAGCCUUCUUGAGGGAAGCAAGAACCUUGUCAAAGGUAUCCUUCCUAUUUCUGCUGUAUUUGAUGUUCGACCUCUUACAAAAACUUACAUCAACGAGCCAUUGCUUCUUACAGAGUAAGUAUUAGAGAGAAAGAGGGGG